rnacentral:rRNA from 1 species
UACGGAGGGAGCUAGCGUUGUUCGGAAUUACUGGGCGUAAAGCGCGCGUAGGCGGCUUUGUAAGUUAGAGGUGAAAGCCCGGAGCUCAACUCCGGAAUUGCCUUUAAGACUGCAUCGCUAGAAUCAUGGAGAGGUUAGUGGAAUUCCGAGUGUAGCGGUGAAAUGCGCAGAUAUUAGGAAGAACACCGGUGGCGAAGGCGGGUCUCUGGGCA